UGUAACGCAAUGGGUAGCGCGUUGGACUUCAAAUUCAAAGGUCUUGGGUUCGAAUCCCACCUAA
rnacentral:tRNA from 1 species